rnacentral:rRNA from 1 species
AGCGAACGCUGGCGGCAGGCUUAACACAUGCAAGCCGAACGCCCCGCAAGGGGAGUGGCAGACGGGUGAGUAACACGUGGGAACGUACCCUUUGGUUCGGAAUAACUUGGGGAAACUCAAACUAAUACCGGAUAAGCCCUUAUGGGGAAAGGUUUACUGCCGAAGGAUCGGCCCGCGUCUGAUUAGCUAGUUGGUGUGGUAAUGGCUCACCAAGGCGACGAUCAGUAGCUGGUCUGAGAGGAUGAUCAGCCACACUGGGACUGAGACACGGCCCAGACUCCUACGGGAGGCAGCAGUGGGGAAUAUUGGACAAUGGGGGCAACCCUGAUCCAGCCAUGCCGCGUGAGUGAUGAAGGCCUUAGGGUUGUAAAGCUCUUUUACCCGGGACGAUAAUGACUGUACCGGGAGAAUAAGCCCCGGCUAACUUCGUGCCAGCCGCCGCGGUAA